UACGAAGGGGGCUAGCGUUGCUCGGAAUUAUUGGGCGUAAAGCGCGCGUAGGCGGUUGCCUAAGUCGGACGUGAAAGCCCUCGGCUUAACCGAGGAAGUGCAUCCGAAACUGAGCAGCUAGAGUACGAAAGAGGGUCGCGGAAUUCCCGGUGUAGAGGUGAAAUUCGUAGAUAUCAGGAGGAACACCGGUGGCGAAGGCGGGUCUCUGGGCCGAUACUGACGCUGAGGAGCGAAAGCGUGGGGAGCGAACAGG
rnacentral:rRNA from 1 species